GCUGUUACUCUCAGGUUCUUGGCAACAGGGGAAAGUUACAAGAGUUUGUCAUUCUUGCACAGAAUAUUUGUGCCGAGUAUUUCACAUAUUAUCAUGCAAGUAUGCACAGCAAUUCGAGAUGUACUGAAAGAUAAAUAUUUGAAGGCUCCAACAACAGAAAGAGAGUGGCAGCUGACUGCUGACAUGUUUGAUGAACUGUGGCAGUUCCCAAAUUGCUUAGGUGCAAUGGAUGGGAAACAUGUUGCGAUUGCUGCACCAAGGU